rnacentral:piRNA from 1 species
UGAUUUUGCCAGCUACAGGUAGUUUCUGC